rnacentral:rRNA from 1 species
ACGCACGCUGGCGGCAUGCCUAACACAUGCCAGUCGAACGAGACCUUCGGGUCUAGUGGCGCACGGGUGCGUAACGCGUGGGAACCUGCCCUUAGGUUCGGAAUAACUCCCCGAAAGGGGUGCUAAUACCGGAUAAUGUCUUCGGACCAAAGAUUUAUCGCCUUUGGAUGGGCCCGCGUUGGAUUAGCUAGUUGGUAGGGUAAAAGCCUACCAAGGCGACGAUCCAUAGCUGGUCUGAGAGGAUGAUCAGCCACACUGGGACUGAGACACGGCCCAGACUCCUACGGGAGGCAGCAGUGGGGAAUAUUGGACAAUGGGCGAAAGCCUGAUCCAGCAAUGCCGCGUGAGUGAUGAAGGCCUUAGGGUUGUAAAGCUCUCUUACCCGGGAUGAUAAUGGCAGUACCGGGAGAAUAAGCUCCGGCUAACUCCGUG